ACAAUGAAGAGUUUGAUCCUGGCUCAGGAUGAACGCUAGCUACAGGCUUAACACAUGCAAGUCGAGGGGCAGCAUUUCAGUUUGCUUGCAAACUGGAGAUGGCGACCGGCGCACGGGUGAGUAACACGUAUCCAACCUGCCGAUAACUCGGGGAUAGCCUUUCGAAAGAAAGAUUAAUACCCGAUGGUAUAAUUAGACCGCAUGGUCUUGUUAUUAAAGAAUUUCGGUUAUCGAUGGGGAUGCGUUCCAUUAGGCAGUUGGUGAGGUAACGGCUCACCAAACCUUCGAUGGAUAGGGGUUCUGAGAGGAAGGUCCCCCACAUUGGAACUGAGACACGGUCCAAACUCCUACGGGAGGCAGCAGUGAGGAAUAUUGGUCAAUGGGCGCAGGCCUGAACCAGCCAAGUAGCGUGAAGGAUGACUGCCCUAUGGGUUGUAAACUUCUUUUAUAUGGGAAUAAAGUUUUCCACGUGUGGAAUUUUGUAUGUACCAUAUGAAUAAGGAUCGGCUAACUCCGUGCCAGCAGCCGCGGUAAUACGGAGGAUCCGAGCGUUAUCCGGAUUUAUUGGGUUUAAAGGGAGCGUAGGUGGACAGUUAAGUCAGUUGUGAAAGUUUGCGGCUCAACCGUAAAAUUGCAGUUGAUACUGGCUGUCUUGAGUACAGUAGAGGUGGGCGGAAUUCGUGGUGUAGCGGUGAAAUGCUUAGAUAUCACGAAGAACUCCGAUUGCGAAGGCAGCUCACUGGACUGCAACUGACACUGAUGCUCGAAAGUGUGGGUAUCAAACAGGAUUAGAUACCCUGGUAGUCCACACAGUAAACGAUGAAUACUCGCUGUUUGCGAUAUACAGUAAGCGGCCAAGCGAAAGCAUUAAGUAUUCCACCUGGGGAGUACGCCGGCAACGGUGAAACUCAAAGGAAUUGACGGGGGCCCGCACAAGCGGAGGAACAUGUGGUUUAAUUCGAUGAUACGCGAGGAACCUUACCCGGGCUUAAAUUGCAUUUGAAUAUAUUGGAAACAGUAUAGUUGUAAGACAAAUGUGAAGGUGCUGCAUGGUUGUCGUCAGCUCGUGCCGUNCAGAAGGCAGCUACCUGGUGACAGGAUGCUAAUCCCAAAAGCCUCUCUCAGUUCGGAUCGAAGUCUGCAACCCGACUUCGUGAAGCUGGAUUCGCUAGUAAUCGCGCAUCAGCCAUGGCGCGGUGAAUACGUUCCCGGGCCUUGUACACACCGCCCGUCAAGCCAUGAAAGCCGGGGGUACCUGAAGUACGUAACCGCAAGGAGCGUCCUAGGGUAAAACUGGUAAUUGGGGCUAAGUCGUAACAAGGUAGCCGUACCGGAAGGUGCGGCUGGAACACCUCCUUU
rnacentral:rRNA from 1 species